CCCGGCUGUUCGGGGCCGCACUCUUGUCAAGAGUGUUGGUCCCGAUCGGUUGGCCUUGCCUCUCAUUGUAAUAAACUUUGUUGUGACUGUCACUGGUGCCUGUAGCAUUCUGUUUCAGGAGUCGUGAAUGCAAUACAGGGACCUGAGACAACAAGGAGGAAAGCGAAAGCAGAUCGCAUGGCGUCUAAUUCAGAUUAUUCCCGAGAGGCCUGGCAUUCAUUCCUUCAAGAAACACCUAUGGCUAUUUUGGAAGUGCAAAGGGAAACAAGGAGACCUUCAGUGGCUCCUUUAAGAGAUAUGGGCCCACCUCCUAACGAGGUGCAGGAACACCACCAGGUUAUCCCACAAACCAUUUUGCAAUCCCCUGAAGGAAGAAUUCAUUCUGAUCUUUGGAAGUUAUAUGCUGCCUUUGAUAAAAUGUAUACUGAUGACAGCUUUAGUUUUCCAGAUUAUUAUCUUUCUCCAGUCCUACAAUUGCGUGCCUGUGUUCCUCCUCCCUACUAUUUGAUUGUUGGAGAUGGAGCCAUUACUCCAGUGAAAGAAGAUGGUCAUCAGUUAUACCGGCUGACUUGUCCUGCUUGUGUUUUGACCACUUGUCUACUAGUAGAGGGGCCCUCUAGAAGUGAAAUGAAGGUUUAUCUGGUCUUACAACCUCCCUAUUGGAUGUUGCCAGUAAAUGUUACAGGACCUUGGUAUCCUAAUUAUGGGAUUCAAUUGGCCUUAGAAAUCAGUAAACGGCUGCACAGGACCAGACGGUUUCUUGGACUCUUGAUUGCUGGACUCAUAGCAACAGUGACUGUAAUUGCCUCUGCAACUGUAUCUGUGAUAUCUUUACAUGAAAGUGCCCAAACGGCAUCCCAUGUAAAUGAAUUGGCUCAUAAUAUAUCCAAGGUGCUUGCCACUCAAGAGUGAAUAGACCGUAAACUGGAAGCCCAGUUGCAGGCACUACAAGAAGCAUUGAUGUAUCUUGGUGAUCAGUUUGCUGUUUUGCGUACCAGACUUUCUUUAAUUUGUCAUGAUGCAUAUAAACAUAUCUGUGUUACCCCGUUAGAGUAUACCAAUAUGACACGGGGACAAGUGCGUCGUCAUUUACAAGGGGUUUGGCAAGACGCUAUCACUAGCUUAGACCUCUUACAGCUACAAGAAGAGAUAAAUGCUAUUGCAAGUAACUCACUCAGUUUCCCUGACCCUGGAGAUCUCGCUGGAACCAUACUGCACCAACUUAAUGGGUUUAAUCCAUUUAAUAUUCUUCAGCAUUCCUUUUGGAUCUUUAUUGAAAUUGUUUCCGUAAUAUCUGUUAUACUUAUGUUACUGUGUUGAUUCUGGAGAUGGGGUCUCACUGCCUUUACCACAUACCAAGCCAGGAUGCACAUGUUGCAAUUACAAACAAUAGGGGGAAAUGUAGGAGGCCGGACCCCGGAGCCAGGCUGAGACCGGGUUGAGCAACGGCUCCCUGUUGACUCAGCCAACCCGGUGGUUCCCCUUCCCAUUCCCCCACUUGCAAAGGCAUACGAAAGCCUCGCCAAGGCUGAGAAAUCUAAUUCCUGAAGCCUGCGGUCUGUGGGUGUUGGCAGUAAUGUUACCCCCCUUUCUACCCCGGGUCAAAUAGAAACAAACACGGGAACUGUGUUUUGCUAGCAAUCUACCAACAGGACCUUGCUGUGACCCGUUUAGAAAGUUCACAACGUACACAGAACUAAAAUGUUUUGGUUGGCAGCGAUCAUGCGAAACCUGUUUAUUCUUAGAAUGACCUGACCCCUAAGAGUCUUGAUAUAAAAGACUGUGUACAGCAACAAUAAAGCCGUCACUUGGGCCAUCAGCCCAGGGGACCCUCCUGUUCCCAAA